rnacentral:rRNA from 1 species
AAUAUUGCACAAUGGGCGCAAGCCUGAUGCAGCCAUGCCGCGUGUAUGAAGAAGGCCUUCGGGUUGUAAAGUACUUUCAGCAGUGAGGAAGUGGGUAUGUUAAUAGCAUAUUCAUUUGACGUUAGCUGCAGAAGAAGCACCGGCUAACUCCGUGCCAGCAGCCGCGGUAAUACGGAGGGUGCGAGCGUUAAUCGGAAUUACUGGGCGUAAAGCGCAUGCAGGUGGUUUGUUAAGUCAGAUGUGAAAGCCCGGGGCUCAACCUCGGAAUUGCAUUUGAAACUGGCAAACUAGAGUACUGUAGAGGGGGUAGAAUUUCAGGUGUAGCGGUGAAAUGCGUAGAGAUCUGAAGGAAUACCGGUGGCGAAGGCGGCCCCCUGGACAGAUACUGACACUCAGAUGCGAAAGCGUGGGGAGCAAACAGGAUUAGAUACCCUGGUAG